rnacentral:lncRNA from 1 species
AACAUUCUUUUCCCACAGAUACUCUUCUGUGUCAUUCCUGUACUUUACCUGGCUUUCUGCACUCAAGAUCUUAUCUCCUUGGGAAGACCCUGGAGUGGACACAGUAUAAACCAUCCCAUCUCCUUGACCUGGACAAUCCUUUGACCUCCUGUAUUUGCCCCUUGGUGGCUUCUGUUUUGCCCUAUAAAGACAGAUUCUGUUUCCGGGAGGUGGGUAAGUAUUUGUUGAAGCAAUACGUAGAUAUCGGCAUACAUUUAGAUGUUUAUGGGCCCCGUCACGAGAUUUAAGGGCUCCCUCACAUUCCUGUUUUCCUGUGGAAACAGACUGGGCCGAUCUACCUUCCUACUGCAAACCCUCUCCUAGAACUACGGGAUGAGCAGAAACAUGAGGGACAAGAUGCAACAUGUGAAACCCUCCAGCCUCCUCGCCCCCUUGCAUGCUUGCUUUCCUGGGACCUUCCACGAGGUGCUCUGCACGUAGACAAGGGACCCAUCCAGGAAUAAGACGGUGUCCAGUGGAGCAGAGCUGGCUGUGUCCUCUGAGAACGCAAGGAAGCACGAGCAAGAGAAAAACGUCUGGGCUCAGAUCCCAGUGAACUCAUCUGCUUCUCCUUGAACUUUUUGCAAUAUCAUCUAUGCUGGAAAUGAUCAUUUAAAGCCACAGCCUAGCAUAAUGUUUACAUCCUGAGGGUUGGAACUGGAGUCAUUAAGUCUUUCAAACAACAAGGACUUUCUCCAGAAUACCUACUUGAUAAACCUUCUUGACUGACUGUGCCUAUUUGUAAUCUCUGCUCACAACUGGGUCCUUGACAAAACCUACUAUAAACUUCUCAACCAUCAAUUAUACAUAAAAAAUGUGGGUGAAAUGAUGGAGAAGAAUUCAACAAAUAGCAUUGCUCAUAAUGGAGAGAAGAUUCUACCUUCUACAAUAUGUAAUUUGAUGAAAUAUGCUAAGCAAGGUUGGGAGAAAAUAGAACCAUUAUUUGUUGUCCGAGCUCCUGGAUCACACGCUACCACUUGCUUAUCUCACUGGGCUCAAGCUUUUCCUGUGGCAUGCCCCCCUGUUCAUCUACCUAUCUGCCUCGCCCAUGGUUUGCUGAAUGCUCCCGGUGAGCCUGGUAUCCUGAAGGACCUUCAUAUCCGCUGUGGUUGGGUUCUCUCAGCUUUCUGCUUGGCCUUGGUCAAAGCCACGGUACACUCCAACUCUUCAGCUCUGGCCCGAAUGCCUUGA